ensembl:lncRNA
UCCAAGUUGAAUAUCUUAUUGUUUAAUUAUUUUUAAUCUUUUGGAAAUACAGAGCUGCCCCAGGGUGUUUUCUUUUCUCUGUCCCUCCUACAGAGCAGCCUGCUCUGGGAGCUCAAGUCCUCCUGUGUAUUCCUUGAAGUGGAUCCAAAUUCAUUACAGAUAGACUGUGUCGCGGACGUAGACGAUGAAGCUGCUGAAGAGGGUAGAGGAGGGUGUGUAAAACGGAGAGCAAGCAAGCCACGGUAAGUAGCUAGGGCUAGUUGUCAAACUUGAAAGGUGAUCUUUGACCUUCUCAUGACUCAUAAAGCACUUUAUGACUCCCGCCCCUUGGUCAAGAAUUUUCAAGCUCAACAAAAGAGCUUUUAGCUCAAAUGCCAUUUAACCUAGCUUCACAGGAUGACUUAUUUUAGUUUCUGUGUUGACCAAGGAAAGUCCUUCACUCCGACUACCUAAUAGCCCACCACCUUGGUUGAUCCCAGGUCUGUUUGCCAGGUCAUGCACUUUGUACAGGCAUGGAACAAGCUUUUGACUGAAUCGCUCCUCCUUGGGAGUCCACUGAUGCUGGGUCCUCAGAGGAGUAUGUGUAAAGAGAGGCACAGCUGCAUGCCCAUGCUAACGAAGAAUGCAGAACCUGAGCUUCAGUUUUCUUCCCACUGACGAUGGAAGCUAAGGUACACAACUGGGAAACAAGUGUUUGGCACCUUUUCCACCUGCAGACAGGGUUAUGAUUGUAUUGAUGUUGAGCAUGGCUUGGAGAUUAUCAGGUCUCACAGAAUCGCAUUAUAAUGAUGGGGAUGGUGCAUGGAGGAGUGACGCUGUCCAAUGCCAUUGCCAAGAGCAGCCAGGGCUCUUCUGGGUCCUCGGCUGCCUGAGGCCAGGGAAGGAAGAUGUACCUGGUAGGACAGCGGCACCCCCAGGAAGCCAAGGUCUUGGUGGCAAAGAACAGUGGGAGGUAAAUGGGAUUGCCAAGAUUGUACCCAGUGCUUCCUGUGAGCUGGAUCUGCUUCAUGGGAUGCUGGGGGUGUGGCCGGGGGCAGAACUAGGGAGAAGCAUGAAGAAAAUCAAGGAAGAGUGGGCCCUGGAAGUAGAGCUGGUUCCUCCAGAAGGAUCCCCCGUGCUGUACAACAGUGCAGUGGACAGGACAUGAAGAGUCAGAAGACUUGGAAGUCUUCCUUCACCCUUUAAAUGGCCUUGGCGGUUGGGGCUACUCGAUGUCACUAAGCCAGU